rnacentral:rRNA from 1 species
CCGUGUGGCGGCCCCUGUAAAAAGGUUGGAANCAACUUGGGUGGAGGGAUUUUAACCGUAGAGUCGGGUUGCUUAGUACUGCAGCCCUAAGUAGGUGGUAAACUCCAUCUAAGGCUAAAUACUACCACGAGUCCGAUAUUUGACAAGUACCGUGAGGGAAAGCUGAAAAGGACUCUGAAGAGAGAGUUCAAGAGGACGUGAAACCAUUAGAAGCUGAAACGGGUGGAACUGUGAAGGUGGAAAGAGGGGAUUCAGGCUGUGGGCAUAGACAUUGGCUUGAGUUUUUGUAUUGUGAAUGGACCCGGCAUACGAGUGAGUUGCCGGUGCUUUUCUUGCCUUUGUUUUGUGUCGGCGGGCUUAAUUCUCCCUCGAGUACUAAACGUGGCGACCCGCUGGACGGACCCCGAGGGCCCUUAAGGACUGGUAGCCUAUAUCUUUGGUGUGGGUGAUGACCUUAU